CGGUUGAGGUGUCUGGCGGAGAGAGACAGCUAUCCAUCUGAGAGGAGCUCGGAUGUUGCUGGCGAGCCUUCUACCAUUGGGUGCUUUGGGCAUUUAUACUGCAGGCGAGGGCCAUUUGCUGUAGGAGCUCGGUCAGAGGCUUUUCGUAGAUGAAGUUCGAUUUCACAUAGAAUUUCGUAGACGGUCGAUCAGCAGUGGGUGUCGGAUGGUGCUGGAGAGGUUCAUCCGCUGGAGGGGUUCGACUACUGGAGUCCAUGUGUCGUAGGAGUUCGUCCGGAAUCUGUCCACUACAGAAGUUCGGUCGGAGUCCGAUCACCAUAGAAGCCCGGAUGGAGAUCAUUUAUCGAGGAAGCUCAACCGAAGCCUGCAGUAGAAGCUCGGAGUAGAUCGCUUGCAGUAGAAGCUCAGAGUAGAUCGCUUG
rnacentral:lncRNA from 1 species